AGCGAACGUUAGCGGCGCGCCUAACACAUGCAAGUCGCACGAGAAAGGGAGCAAUCCCCGGUACAGUGGCGCACGGGUGAGUAACACGUAGAUGACCUUCCCUGGAGUGGUGGAUAACCUGCCGAAAGGCGGGCUAAUACAGCAUGGGACCACAUGGUUUUGACCGAGUGGUGAAAGCGGGCCUCUGUUCACAAGCUCGCGCUCUGGGAUGGGUCUGCGUCCCAUCAGCUAGUUGGUGAGGUAGUGGCUCACCAAGGCAUCGACGGGUAGCUGGUCUGAGAGGAUGACCAGCCACACUGGAACUGAGACACGGUCCAGACUCCUACGGGAGGCAGCAGUGGGGAAUCUUGCGCAAUGGGCGAAAGCCUGACGCAGCGACGCCGCGUGGGUGAUGAAGGCC
rnacentral:rRNA from 1 species